CCCCGGGCGGGGCGGGGGCACGGGGGGACUCCUACGGGAGGCAGCAGUAGGGAAUUUUCCGCAAUGCACGAAAGUGUGACGGAGCGACGCCGCGUGUGUGAUGAAGGCUUUCGGGUCGUAAAGCACUGUUGUAAGGGAAGAAUAACUGAAUUCAGAGAAAGUUUCAGCUGACGUACCUACCAGAACAGAGAGAUGGG
rnacentral:rRNA from 1 species